rnacentral:lncRNA from 1 species
GCUGGUUGGUCCGCACUUAUAUUAUCAAGAAAAGGAACUAACUAAUUAAGAGUUCAAACAAGGCAAAGUCUGUUGCUGUCAUCCGUCCCACAGUUGCUACCCUAAUUGCUUUCCUUAUCAUCAUUUCCUUGGGUGAGCUAUUAGAAUCUAACUUUUUUCAACUCAAUUAUACAUUUUAUAAUUAUUCUAUAAUCUGCAUAGCCUUAUGAUAUGUAACGGAGAUUAAUUCUGGUAAUUUUACAGUUAACAGUAAUAUGUACGAUAAGCGAUAUGCCCCCUGGAAGCUAAGCGAAGUAAGACAUGGUUCGGUGUUUGUGCCAAAUCCAAGAGCUGUGACAACCAAUGCAGUACAUGGGAACGGGCAAAGCACGGUGCUUGCCCCGCAACUUGGCGCCAUGUUUUACGUGUGAAGGUCCCUUCAGGGAUUGCAUGCUUCUGCUACUUUUGCAAAAAGCAUUAGGUCAAGCAUGUCUGUGUUUGGCCAGGAAAACAAAUUGAUAAAUAAACAGCUUUUGCUGGCUCGCUCUAUAUAUGCUUGUGGAUCGAGUACUCUUCGGUCUGAAACUGGAAAUAAAGGCUUUUGUGGCUCUGUACAGGCUAGAAGAACACUUGUGCUUCAAAAUAAUCGUGUGACUCUUUACAAUUCAGAUACUUCUGUUUACUAA